rnacentral:rRNA from 1 species
AUUGAACGCUGGCGGCAGGCCUAACACAUGCAAGUCGAGCGAGCGACGGACGGGUGAGUAAUGCCUAUGAAUCUGCCUGGUCGUGAGGGAUAACGUCCGGAAACGGGCGCUAAUACCGCAUACUAUCAGCUGAACCUAGGUCGGAGUAGCUAGUUGGUGAGGUAACGGCUCACCUAGGCGACGAUCCCUAGCUGGUCUGAGAGGAUGACCAGCCACACUGGAACUGAGACACGGGCCAGACUCCUACGGGAGGCAGCAGUGGGGAAUAUUGCACAAUGGGCGCAAGCCUGAUGCAGCCAUGCCGCGUGUAUGAAGAAGGCCUUAGGGUUGUAAAGUACUUUCAGCGGGGAGGCGUUACCCACAGAAGAAGCACCGGCUAACUCCGUGCCAGCAGCCGCGGUAAUUC